rnacentral:rRNA from 1 species
UACGUAGGGGGCUAGCGUUGUCCGGAAUCAUUGGGCGUAAAGAGCGUGUAGGCGGCCAGGUAGGUCGGUUGUGAAAACUGGAGGCUCAACCUUCAGAGGUCGACCGAAACCAUCUGGCUAGAGUCCGGGAGAGGAGAGUGGAAUUCCUGGUGUAGCGGUGAAAUGCGCAGAUAUCAGGAAGAACACCCGUGGCGAAGGCAGCUCGCUGGGACGUUACUGACGCUGAGACGCGAAAGCGUGGGGAGCAAACAGG